UACAGAGGGUGCGAGCGUUAAUCGGAAUUACUGGGCGUAAAGCGUGCGUAGACGGUUCCGUAAGUCAGAUGUGAAAGCCCCGGGCUCAACCUGGGAAUUGCAUUUGAGACUGCGUAGCUAGGGUGCGGAAGAGGGAAGCGGAAUUUCCGGUGUAGCGGUGAAAUGCGUAGAUAUCGGAAGGAACACCAGUGGCGAAAGCGGCUUCCUGGUCCAGCACCGACGUUCAGGCACGAAAGCGUGGGGAGCAAACAGG
rnacentral:rRNA from 1 species